ensembl:lncRNA
CUAGAGCAGAAUAUCAUUUAGGGGACUUAAAGACUCAAGAUCUUCACUCCUAGGAUGAGGGAUGGAUUACUUGCCCCUCCUUACUCUGCCCCCAUCACCCUUUUCCUGAAGAGGACAUCAGACACUGCUGAAAGGGUCAGGGGGAGGUCCAUACCUGGCUGGAAGGACCCUGAGCCUCAAAUGCCACGUGUCUGGCUUUCAGUUCAAUACAAGCCGACUAGGCUGAUACCUUUGGGCUGCUGGACAUUCCCCAUUGUGGCUGACCAGCCUCGACAGCACAUUUUCAGAAGCCAGAGAAGACCUAGCAGCAGGAGAACCACGACCUGAGCAGGGGAACCAGGUGCUCCUUGGACUGCUGGGAUUGAGAAUGUUAUUGAUGAAGACUGUGGCUAUCAACAACCUGCUCACCGCCCUGGUCUUGAUUUUUGAUCUUACCACCCCAUGAAAUUAUCCCAUUAAUCCUUGUCUAUUUUCUGCUCCCUCAAAUUUCCAUUCAGCUGUCCUACCCAACCCCAAUUCAUACUCAGCCUCUUUUUUCUCAGUCUUCUCUCUGUCCUUUCAUCCCCCCCACAACCCUAACCUUACGAUCUCAUGCCUAUUCCCCUAGGCAUUUCAUAGUCUUCUCUCUGCUUUCAUCCCUCUGUUCCCUUAGAUUUUUCUUUAUUUUUCAAGUCUCCUCUCUUGCCUAUUAUUCUUUCUGUCCCUAUGACGUCCCUUUUGUGUGCAGAAAGGGGGAAUGAACAGAAGGGAACAAGCUGCUUCUAGAUGAGUUUGACCUCUCACUCCCUGACACUUGACUUCUGACUUUAGUUUCUCUAGAAGCCUGGGAAACAACAUUGUGGGAGCCACCAUUUGGACCCUGCUGUGACCAUUUGAGUCCCAGAAUUAUCCCAGUGACCCCAGUCACAUUCAUUCAUUCCUGAGAUUCAGAAUAGUCAAUUCUGAGUGUGUGUCCCCUGAAAUAGUCAAGACAUUCCUUUCUUAGAGGUCGUGAUAUAGAAGUGGGAGUGGGGGGGGGACGGACAGAUUAUCAUAGCCCAGAUUCUCCAGGUUUCCAUAGCUUGGGUAGCAGCAACAAUUCCCACUAUUACCUUUUUUCCCUAUAUGAGGCUUAUUUUGGGGGUACACACCAGGUUGCAACCUCCAGUUCAUGUUCUUGGGAUUGUGGCCAUGUGGGCUGCUUGGAGUCAGUAGGGGUCACGUACCAUGACAGAAGUUAGGCUGUGAAGGUUGGGGAUGAGUGAGGGAGAAAAUCAGCCACAUCAUCUUCUAAUGCUUACUUUCUCUUACCAUGUCCCUGGGGAGGUCACCACCCUUCAUUCUUAUAGUUGAGGAAGAAAUCACGUGGGGGAGGGAUCUUAAUUUCCAUCAGGAUAAACAUGUGUCAGAUGUAUGGAGGAACUUCCUGGUGCAAGAUCUUGAGUCCCUAAUGUUAUCUAUGUCCUAUCCCUGUCCCCAAGGCUAUUCCUGAGGUAAGGAGCAUAAGGAUACUUUAGGACACAACUCAGAGCCUAGAUUUCCUCUGAGAUGCAACUGAAUCUAAUUAGAGUCCUUUGCACCCUCAAAGAUCAAAUGUUAGUGUUGUGUGAAUCACUGUUUCCCUGGUAAGAGAGGAAAUGCAAGGAAGGCCCAGGAAUACACACUUCUAAAAGGAAUCCAGGAGACCCAGGGGUCCAAGCAGGGAAAAAUCCUAAUGGGAGACAAGGACACAUGGCCAAGAAUGGGAAUGGAUAGGACAAUCCCUCGGGCUGUGGGAGAAAAGAACAAGGGAGUGAGUUGGGAGUCCUGGAGUUGAAUUUAGCCUCAGAUGCAGACACUCUUUUGAAGGAAACAAGCAUUUAUUAAGUGAUUACUAUGUGCCAGGAACCAUACCAAGCUCUGGAAAUACAAAUAUAAGAAAGAAGAAAGACAGUGCCUGCCCUCAAAGAGUUUACAUUCUAAUGUGAGAAGACAACACAAAAGGGAGCUAAAAGGGGGGAAAGGGAAAGGAUGAAGACACUCAAGGGAAUGGUUUUGAAGUACAAAAGCCAGAAGCAGAGCCAAGAAGAGGAUAAAGGCCAGCCUGAGAACCUCCACAAAAUGGAGACUUGAAGAGGAAUUCACCGAUAGGAUUACAGGGUGGGCCCCAAAGAGACAUAUUCUAGGUUGAAGAGAUUGCAGGCACUUUAGGAUGUGGUAGGGUGAGGGGCCCUGGGUGUUAAAGGAAGUCUAGAACGAGGCAAUGUUGAGACAUGGUUUUGAAGACCAGAAGCCAAGAACAGUCUCCUUGGUCCCAAGUGUGAGAAAAAACAAACAAAUUUUAAAAAGCCACAUAUGAACAAAGAAAUGUUCCAAGAUUAAACUUGUUGAGUGAGAUAAUGCCAGAGGAGUAUGGGAAAACUGACAUGCCAUCUUUCCUGAGCUCCAAUCAAAUAAAUCAAUUAUCUGAGGUUCA